GAAAAGCAAGCCCUCAGACUCCCUACGUUUAUACCUGGAGCCCGAGGUGGGUGCUGGGCGACUGUGGUUUCCCAGGUGCGCAGACGCCCAUGUGCGCAAUCAGAGCGCCUAAGCCCCGCGCAGAUCCGGCACCCCCUUGGGGGGUGAUCCCCGCCAGGGCCUGGCUCUCUCGACCCCCAAACGCUGUCCCCAUCCUUCUCAUAAUGAUAACACCGAAAAUUCCACCACUGGAGCUUCCUCUCUGAGGCCUAAGGCUUUGAUUUCUGUUCCAUGCAAAUCUCCUCAGGCAGAGUCGGACUUCCCUGUGGCUGAGGGCUAUUUUGUGCGCAUGAAUAUGCAUAGAGACCUGUGAUGUCAGAAUGGGAACUAAGACCUAGAAAGUAAUCCCUGCUGCCCUUUCGCUGGCCCAGGAAGGGGUGAAUCACAGAUCAGUGUCAGAGGUGCGAUGAAAACCCAGGAGUUCUGAUUCCUGGGUCACCAUGCUCCCUUUGCCAAGGGUGGAGCCGACACCAACAGACUCUUAGCUCCUGUGCCCUGUGCAUCCUGGUGUUCGUGCACGUGCUGCACGGUGUAACCUUGCAGUAUACCCGUAACACUGGAGGCACACAUCUCUUCCCUAGCAGCCCUUAAGAACCUGAAUGGUAGAGAGAAGGAGGAUCACAAAAGUUUGCUUCCAGCUCUAUACUCACCCACAGGUGAUUCCAUAUUUGUUUGUUUUGACUGUGUCU
rnacentral:lncRNA from 1 species